UCCCCGAUGGUGAAAUUGGUAUCACUCCAGAUUUUGGUUCUGGCAUUUCACGUUCGAGUCGUGGUUGGGGAA
rnacentral:tRNA from 1 species